GCGCCCGCCUUGGACGGGGCCCAGUUUCGCAAACUGGGCAACGAGGGUUCAAUCCCCUCCGGGCGCACCA
rnacentral:tRNA from 1 species